UCACGGCGCGCCCGUUUCCAUGGGAACCGGAGGCGCGGGCGGUGGGAGCGCCACGGGCCGCGACCGCCGGGAGAGACCCCCGAUGCCCCGGGACGGCCGGGCCCUGUCCGGCCGCGGCAUGUUCGCCGACAGGACGGCACCCGGUGCCGACGUGCAGUCGCUGUGGAGGAGCACCCGGAGCGCGCGCUGCGAGGCGAAAACUUGCCAGACUGGGAAAAUUUCAACAGCAGAAGCUGCAGCACAGUCUCAUAUAGCCCGGGAUGCUGCGGUGCAGACAGAACAGAGCAAAGAUGCUGACCAAGACUUCCAGCAACAAGUCCAAGUAGAUUACCCUGGGCUUCUGUCAUUCCUUCAGAGAGUGGAGGAUGCUGUUAUCAAGGAGCUAAAUAAAAAUUGGAAAAGUCAUGCCUUUGAUGGCUUUGAAGUGAACUGGACAGAUCAGGAUGAAACAGUGUUGUGUUUGCAUACACUGUCAUAUCCAGAGGCUCAGGAUCAAAAUCUGCAGGUCACCAGUGUUUCAUGGAAUGCCACAGGAUCUGUUAUUGCAUGUUCCUAUGGCCGGUUGGACAAUGGGGACUGGAGCACAGAAAAAUCCUAUGUUUGUACCUGGAAUCUGGACAGAAGAGCGUUGAAUCCACAGCACCCUGAUGUGGUGGUGGAUGUUCCCAGUUCUGUCAUGUGCCUGGCUUUCCAUCCCUCCCAGCCAUCACUGAUAGCUGGUGGGCUGUUCAGUGGGGAGUUGGUGGUGUGGGACACGACCAGGACAGAGGACCCUGUGAUCUGGAGGACAGGGAUGACAGAUGACACCCACACUGACCCCGUUUAUCAGGUUACGUGGUUACCUGACACCAAGCACAGAAACCACGCCCGGCUGUUGAGUGUGGCCACAGAUGGGAAGAUCCUGGUGUGGAGGGAGGAGCAGGACGGGCGGCUGGCCCUGGAUGAAGGAUUUGCCAUCAUGGCUCAGCAGAUCCCUCGCAGCACUCGGCUGAAGAAGGGGGCCUGGGGAGAGGCAGCCGUGGGGGUGACCUCGCUGUCCUUCUCACACUUUGACGCCGCUGUGUUCGUCGUGGGUGUGGAAGGCGGGUUUUCCCUGCGGUGCUCGGCCGCGGCCCAGGCUCCGGCUCUCCCGGGGCCCGGCGGCUCCGUUCCCCUCCGGGCGCCGGCGGAAUUCUCCUUCUCCCCUCACGCCGGGCCCGUGUACUCCGUGAGCUGCUCGCCCUUCCACAGGAACCUCUUUCUGAGCUGUGGGACCGAUGGACAAGUUCACUUGCACUCCAUGUUGCAGACACAGCCCCUCUUUGCUCUCCAGUUAUCAAAGAAAUACCUGUUCUGUGUAUGCUGGUCUCCAGUUCGACCACUGGUUUUUGCAGCUGCGUCUGGGGAAGGAGAGGUGCACCUGUUUGACCUGGCGAGGAGCAUGCAGAAGCCCACAGUGUCCCUGAGGCAGUCCGUGAGGACCGAGGGAAAUGAGUCACCUGGAGCAGCUGGCAAGUGAGAUCACGGACUGAGGGAGCAGCACAGCAGCUGUGGGAAGCUUCUAACUGCCCCGACUCCAGAACAUUCCCCACUCACCUGUUCCAGUGCUGCUCUGGAAAACACAGGGUUAAGGCUCAGACUCAACGCCCGCCUAGAGAUGAAGCGCACGCCCAGAGCCUUGAGCAGGAAGCUGGGAACCAACCUUGGAAAGAACCAACAGGGAAACAAACCUCCAAGCAUCUCUAAGCCGUGAAAGUUAGUUGGAAGGAAAGCGAGCCUUGGAAUUAACGAGUGCGUUUGAAAACCAAAGUGAGGUAAGAAAAUAAGAGGAAAAAACCUUCCAGAUAGAUCAUCCCCAACUUCAUACUGAUAGACACGAAUGACACGACGAUAUGCUAUGCUAGUCAAAGGAAAGAAACCAAGUAAAUUCCAAAAUGGAAGAAAGAAAGAACAGAGGAAAGAACACACCAAAACACGGCCACUGCAGUGGAGCCACACUCCAAGCCAGCACUGCCUUGCAGCAAACACAAUCAAGUACUUAAUGAGAGAAAUUUAUUUAAAUGCUGGUUGCACAUACACAAAAAUAGCCCGUUAUUAAUUUUCAUGUAAGUCACAAAAAAGUGAGGGUCUCGCUAAGAGACAAACUGAAGCUUUGCAGUUAGCUCAUCUACAGAUUGUUUAAAAGCAUUUUUCUUUGCAAACUCCAAAUUCUUCUUACUCUCUCCCCCAAAGUACACCCCUCCCAGGCAGUGCUGGGCACACACAAGCUGCAAAGCAAGGAGUGUGCAUGGCAGCUCUUCUCCUGACACUUCCCUGAAGCUCUGCCUUCCCUCUCACCAAGCCAGGCUAAACACAGCCAGUGCCUCUUGGAACUAAAUCCACGUUUUUAAUCUAUUCACAGAGAAUUAGGGACAAAUUCUGCCUGGCAUAUCAGCAGCCCUCUGGUAAUUUGUUCAACAAAAGAGCCUGGCAUGAGGAUCUCUAACUCUGACCCUGCAUCUUUCAGUGAAUGGCUCCUUUCUGUUCACUCGUUCUUGGAUACCAGAACUAAUCUACAACACUACUUGACAAAGGAGCAGGGAAUUCAGCAUCCGUUCCAGGAAAAUCUGCUCGGUUCCAUUAAACUGUACAGCAAAACCAGGGCAAACUAUUUUUAUCUGGCAGAACACAAGAGACUGUGAUCAUUACGGAGCAAAUAAGCAGCAGAAUUAUCUGUGAAGAUUCCACCCUUUUAUUAGGAAAGGCUUUCUCUUUAGGAGCAAGGCCUCCUCCAGCCCUGUGCACACACAGCCUCUGCCCUGGCCCAGAGACUGCUGGCAUUUGACAUCACGUCUUAUCACAAAGCUUCCACUGUGCUGAGACUCGUCCUGCUGAAGGAAUUUAACUGGACAGACACAUUUGCAGAGGCUUUGGUCAUCUGAAAACCUUUAAAGAUCUUAUUAUUUCCUUUCCACUUCCAGACAAAUGGCCAGCACGCAUCCUCAUCAGGAACCAUUGCUGUCGACACAGAAUGGGCUUAAAACUGCUGGGAAACUCCAGCAGCUUCUUGGAUUCAUGUUGGAAGGUUGAUUUUCUCAAGGCUAAAAUCUGUGUGGGCCAUGGCUCUGCAGCAGAUUAAAAACAGGCAGUUCAUAUUUGCAAACUACAGGGUUUUAAGAUAUGUAAUUUCAGCAAAAUGUUGUAAGAAUCUUCCCUUCUCCUUAUCAAAAGCAGUCAAUACUUUGGAGAUUUCACUGUUCUCAGAACAGUUAUGGUCAAAAGUUUUGUUUCACUAAGCAAGUCUCUUAAGCUGAAAAACUAGAAAUGUCAGAAUAGCCUGCCUUUGGAAAGCAGCUACACUCUCACAGAUUUUCUCAAAUUAAGGGGCUUUUCCUGUGCAAGCCCUCAGAAAAAGCAAAAGUCAGGAAGUCCACGGUGUGCCAGUGGCUGCCUGUUGUAAUUCUGCUUUUGACUAGGAAAUUGUUAUGUUUCUACUGGUUUAUAGUUAACUACUCCAAAAUCUUGUUUCCUGUGUCUGUGCACCUCAGCAAAAGGUUGUUCUUUUCAAAGAAGAGGGGUUUGAGCACAGCUUUCACAAGCGAUGUAAUGACAGGAGAACACACACAGAGCAGAACACGUCACCAAAAUUUGAAAGAUAU